AUGGUUUCUGACCACCAUUCUAGAUCAUUGUGCCGCCAAGCAAGUCUUCUCCAUCCCUCCUUUUGGCGUGCAUGGGGAGAAGGGACAGCAAGCCUCCGGAACCCCGCCUCUCGUGGUCCUGUACGGGAGAGGGGCGACAAGGUUUUUGGGGAGCGCACUUUCAUGAUUGCUGGCAGCGACGACUUCGUGAAUGACAACCUCUUCCCCAACCUCGGCAACCUCAUCCUCGACGACAUGGGCGACAACAUCAACGCCGGCGGUGCUGCUCCCGCUGCAUCGUAUGUGCUUCUAUCCUUCCUGUUCGAGAUCGUGGUAGAAUUCAUGUUUCUAGUAUGUGCCCUAGAUGUCAUCUAUUCAUCUACUAUGCUAGUUCGCAUGAUUAGUUUAAUCUCUGCUAUUGCUGUCAUGAUUUAUCUUUUGUUCAUUUGGAUUAAAUCUCGUAGUAAUUUGCUCAUAUUUCCAAUAAUCUAA
rnacentral:rRNA from 1 species